GUUUCAUUGAAUGUUUGCGUGUGAAUUGGAGAAAAAAACUGUUGUGACAGUAAGCAUUUUUACUUCUUCACGCCUUUCUUUCUUUUUCCUCAUUCUGACAAUCUCUUUUGUGACAGCAUUUUUACUUCUUCACGCUAUUUCUUUCUUUCCUUUUCAUCUUAAUACGUCUUCAUUUUCCCACACAAUGAUCCAUGUGUCUCUAACUUUCUCUUCAUGAAACUUUACUAUUUUUGUGAAAUGUAUGGUUCUUAAAAUUUUGGGAAUUUUUGUCUUCUGUUUUGUUUGAGUUUUGAAUGAUUUUGAGGUUCGGGUUGUUGGUUGGACUUAGGCGGCAUAGGCAUCUUCUUCAUCAACUAAUGAUUCACCGGAGGUGAAGGACGUGGUAAGUGAUGCUGUGGCGAAGAAAUGUUUGAGGGAUGAAGUUCGAUGUGUUGAUUUGGCCAAUAGUGAUAGUACGAAGCAGUCGGAAGUGAUCAUAUCGUUGGAGGCGGUGAUGGAAGGUGGGCCUCGAUUUCUCCGAUAACUAUAGGUAUGAUUUUUUCAUCUGCACGUGCUUUGUAAUGGGUGUUUUUUUCAAUAUUCUUUAGUGAUUUGCUUCUGGAAAUACGGUUGUGUUAGUAUAUUCAGUUCCGGGUUUUUAUUAAAUUUUCUGGAAAUACGGUUGUGAUUAUCACUCUUAGUUUUUGUGUUUGAGAUGAAACAAACAGGGAUGAGCAUUUGCCGAUAGUCGUAAAGAUUUAUUUGUAGAGAUGAAAGCUGUAGACCUCUUGCUUAACUUUUGCUGUAAUGACUGUAUUUGGUAUUAACUUCCCCAAGGUAUGAAGACCCGUAAGCGAACACUUCAAAUAUCUAAUAUUGUUGUUACAGUGUCAAAAAGAAUUUGAAAGUAGUUUUUCAUUUUUUUGCAGCGUACUUGUCGUUCUUUGCACAUGAACUCCUUUCUGAUAAGAGCCGAGAAGAUAUUCCUCCGAUAAGUGACUAUUACCUUGUUUUAAGGGUGUGAAGCUAUGAUUAAAUCUGUUUGGUCCAUCAUUUGUAACGACCCAAUUUUUUUUAAAGGGUUGAAUCGCUACUGAAAUUAUUCAUUCGAAUUUGGGCAACUUGGAAUGCCAUAAUACAUAUAUAAUUAUGAAGAUGUAAUUUACUCAAUUU
rnacentral:lncRNA from 1 species